GCCAGGUGUGGUGGUGCAUGCCUGUAAUCCCAGCUACUUGGGAGGCUGAGGCAGGAGAAUUGCUUGAACCUGGGAGGUGGAGGUUGCAGUGAGCCGAGAUUGUGCCACUGCACUCCAGCCUGAGUAACAGAGCAAGACUCUGUCUCAA
rnacentral:SRP_RNA from 1 species